rnacentral:rRNA from 1 species
UACGUAGGGUCCGAGCGUUGUCCGGAAUUAUUGGGCGUAAAGGGCUCGUAGGCGGUUUGUCACGUCGGGAGUGAAAACACGGGGCUUAACCCCGUGCCUGCUUCCGAUACGGGCAGACUAGAGGUAUGCAGGGGAGAACGGAAUUCCUGGUGUAGCGGUGAAAUGCGCAGAUAUCAGGAGGAACACCGGUGGCGAAGGCGGCAUCCUGGACCGGUAUUGACGCUGAGGCGCGAAAGCCAGGGGAGCAAACGGG